GGCGCCGGAAGUGAGUGAGCAUUUCUGGCAGCCCUACCCCGCGGCCUGGCCGUCGCCGCAGUACCGCUGUCCAGGCGUCUUCCUCCCGUCAUGAAGGACGUACCCGGCUUCUUACAGCAGAGCCAGAGCUCCGGUCCCGGCCAGGCCGCCGUGUGGCACCGUCUGGAGGAGCUCUACACUAAGAAGUUGUGGCAUCAGCUGACACUUCAGGUGCUUGACUUUGUGCAGGACCCGUGCUUUGCCCAAGGAGAUGGUCUCAUUAAGCUUUAUGAAAACUUCAUCAGUGAAUUUGAGCACAGGGUGAAUCCUUUGUCCCUGGUAGAAAUCAUUCUUCAUGUAGUUAGACAGAUGACUGAUCCUAAUGUGGCUCUUACUUUUCUGGAAAAGACUCGUGAGAAGGUGAAAAGUAGCGAUGAGGCAGUGAUCCUAUGUAAAACCGCAAUUGGAGCUCUAAAAUUAAAUAUCGGGGACCUACAAGUUACCAAGGAAACAAUUGAAGAUGUUGAAGAAAUGCUCAAUAACCUCCCUGGGGUGACAUCCGUUCACAGUCGUUUCUACGACCUCUCCAGUAAAUACUAUCAAACAAUCGGAAACCAUGCAUCCUACUACAAAGAUGCGCUGCGGUUUCUGGGCUGUGUUGACAUCAAGGAUCUGCCAGUGUCUGAGCAGCAAGAGAGAGCUUUCACGCUGGGACUAGCAGGACUUCUUGGCGAGGGAGUUUUCAACUUUGGAGAGCUGCUCAUGCACCCCGUGCUAGAGUCACUGAGGAACACUGACCGGCAGUGGCUGAUUGACACCCUCUAUGCCUUUAACAGCGGCAAUGUAGAGCGAUUCCAGACUCUGAAGACCGCCUGGGGCCAGCAGCCUGAUUUAGCAGCCAGCGAGGCCCAGCUUCUGAGGAAAAUCCAGUUGCUGUGUCUCAUGGAGAUGACUUUCACACGACCUGCCAAUCACAGACAACUCACCUUUGAAGAAAUUGCCGAAAGUGCUAAAGUCACCGUGAACGAGGUACAGAGUUCUUAGACUCGGGAUGUGCAGCAGCAAAGCUGCUCCUCGGGGGCGGUCAGGACUCCUGUGUGAGAUCACAGAAAGAAACUGCUCCUCGUUCCCCUCGUGUUUCACAGCUGGCGGGGUCCGCAGAUCAAGGGGAUGAAGGACCGCCUGGAGUUCUGGUGCACCGACGUGAAGAGCAUGGAGAUGCUGGUGGAACACCAGGCCCACGACAUCCUCACCUAGUCUCCCCUGCCCUGACCUGUCUGGAGAGGUGUUUCACGGCUGAUAAAACUGGCAGCUGAGAAGACCUGCCUUUAAUUGGGGGUGGGGGUGGGAUUCAGUUUGGAGUAGGGACUGUUGUUCUUGCUGUGAAGACUGUCACAGAGCACUGUCAUCGAUGGGGGUGCCCAGCCACAGGCAGACGCCUCCUUUGUGGCUGUCACCAUAACCUGCAGUGGGGAGGAGCCGCCAGGCUGAGUGAUGAGGUAGCAGGAGUGUGGGCCCCCCGCCCCCGGAGUCACAGGGGGUAGCCCUAGUGUGCAGGGGGCCCACUCCAGGGUUGGCCUCCAUUACAUCACCUGUGUGAACAUGUUUUCCAGCGUGGUUUGAGAAUGUUUCUAUAACUAAUGCCUUGCUCUGUC